UAUAGUUGCUAAGUUUACAAUGGACGGUCGACGUCAAGUGCUGUUUCUUUUCCUGAUUCUCAUGGGAUGCUUUGCCGUUCUUGGACGAUGUAAGUGAUGGAUGAAAAGUACUUUAGCAUCCUUUGCUUUCUUUACCCAAAAAGGCAAUCUGGUUGAUUGACUUGCACAAUUUCAAAAGGUUCUUUUUUGCCAUGCAGUAGCAUUGCACGGGGAAUAGAACUUACAAACGUUUGUGUUACUCCAUGCAGCUCGAAGCAUCAACGACAUGCAUAGUAGUAAGAUUACUGUGCAGUGUUGCAGAUACCUGAAAGCACAACCGAGCCCGAAACCUCCGUUGGUAUGCUGCACGCCCUUCAAGACAUCAUCAUGCUUUGAGACGAAGAAAGAAUGUCUGGAAACCUGUUGCAAACAGUCCAAAACUAAUUUUACUGAUGUCACUUGGUCGCUUCCUAUUCUGCACUGACGAUAAUUCUAGUUUAUUCCGCAAUAAGAGAUUUGACAUAAAAUAAUCCAUGAGUUUUUACUUCCGGAUUGUCAAAAUUUCCCUCUUUAAUUUUUGUGUGUGUGGUCUCCAUGACAAAUGUGUUCGGUUAGCUAAAUCAUUAACGUAUGAACAACGAAAAUCCUUAUCUUAUUGAAUGAUUUGAUCGAUCAAAUCACACAAAAUCAUCUUGGAAUUAUAAAACUGUCCAAAUUCAGCUGUCUAAAUAGUACUCAGACAUAUUUCAUCAGUCUCAAAAUGUAAGUGGCGCACACAUCUGAACAAAG
rnacentral:lncRNA from 1 species